rnacentral:rRNA from 1 species
CCUACGGGUGGCUGCAGUGGGGGAUAUUGCACCAUGGGGGGAACCCUGAUGCAGCGACGCCGCGUGAGUGAAGGAGUGCUUCGGCAUGUAAAGCCCUAUCAGCAGGGAAGAAGCAAGACUGUACCUAACUAAGAAGCCCCGGCUAACUCCGUGCCAGCAGCCGCGGUAAUACGUAGGGGGCGAGCGUUAUCCGGAUUCACUGGGGGUAAAGGGAGCGUAGACGGCCAAGCAAGCCAGGGGUGAAAGCCCGGGGCCCAACGCCGGGACUGCCCUUGGAACUGGAUGGCUGGAGUGCGGGAGGGGCAGGCGGAAUUCCUGGUGUAGCGGUGAAAGGCGUAGAUAUCAGGAGGAACACCGGCGGCGAAGGCGGCUUGCUGGAACGCGACUGACGUUGAGGCUCGAAAGCGUGGGGAGCGAACAGGAUUAGAUACCCUGGUAGUC